CGGGGCGUAGCGCAGCCUGGUAGCGCACUUGCAUGGGGUGCAAGGGGUCGAGAGUUCAAAUCCCUCCGUCCCGACCA
rnacentral:tRNA from 1 species